GCGUGUGUGAAGAAGGCCUUCGGGUUGUAAAGCACUUUCAAUUGGGAAGAAAAGAGCAGAGUUAAUACCUCUGCUCCUUGACGGUACCAAUACAAGAAGCACCGGCUAACUCCGUGCCAGCAGCCGCGGUAAUACGGAGGGUGCAAGCGUUAAUCGGAAUUACUGGGCGUAAAGCGUGCGCAGGCGGUUUGUUAAGUCAGAUGUGAAAGCCCCGGGCUCAACUUGGGAACUGCAUUUGAUACUGGCAAACUAGAGUGUGGUAGAGGGAAGUGGAAUUCCUCAUGUAGCGGUGAAAUGCGU
rnacentral:rRNA from 1 species